rnacentral:rRNA from 1 species
AACGUAGGAGACAAACGUUAUCCGGAGUUACUGGGCGUAAAGGGCGUGUAGGCGGUCUGUUAAGUCUGGCGUGAAAGCUCUCGGCUAAACCGGGAGAGGUCGUUGGAUACUGGCAGACUAGAGGACGGUAGAGGCGUGUGGAAUUCCGGGUGUAGUGGUGAAAUGCGUAGAUAUCUGGAGGAAUACCGGUGGCGAAGGCGGCAUCCUGGACCGACAUUGACGCUGAUGAGCGAAAGCUAGGGGAGCAAACGGG